GCAGUAGACGCUGAGACUUUAGCUUGCUAAAGUUGGAAGAGUUGCGAACGGGUGAGUAACGCGUAGGUAACCUGCCUACUAGCGGGGGAUAACUAUUGGAAACGAUAGCUAAUACCGCAUAACAGCAUUUAACACAUGUUAGAUGCUUGAAAGGAGCAAUUGCUUCACUAGUAGAUGGACCUGCGUUGUAUUAGCUAGUUGGUGAGGUAACGGCUCACCAAGGCGACGAUACAUAGCCGACCUGAGAGGGUGAUCGGCCACACUGGGACUGAGACACGGCCCAGACUCCUACGGGAGGCAGCAGUAGGGAAUCUUCGGCAAUGGGGGCAACCCUGACCGAGCAACGCCGCGUGAGUGAAGAAGGUUUUCGGAUCGUAAAGCUCUGUUGUAAGAGAAGAACGUGUGUGAGAGUGGAAAGUUCACACAGUGACGGUAACUUACCAGAAAGGGACGGCUAACUACGUG
rnacentral:rRNA from 1 species